GUAGCUUUGGAGCCUAUCCUGGCACUCGCUCUGGAGACCAGGCUGGCCUGGAAACUCACAAGAGAUCCGCCUGCCUCUGCCUCCCGAGUGCUGGGAUUAAAGGCGUGCGCCACCAACGCCUGGCAAGCAGCCCACCUUUUAGCAGAGUGGAAACCAGAUCUAAUCCAGGAUGAGAAAGAAGUCAAACCAGCAUCAGUUCCAGAUGAUUGGGACAGUGCAGAGAAACCUCACCAGCUCCAAGCCUUUCUUCUCAACCCCGAUUCUAUGUUAAAGCUCAGUUUCACGGUGAGUAUUUCACAGUAGCCAUUAUUACAUAUGCAUGCCUAUGACAGUUUCUCAUCGGAAGAAAACCCUAUUUAGGGGCUAGAACCAGUGUUUCAUUUAAUUCAGCAAAAUUCAACUAGAGGUUGAAAGAUAAUAAAUACCUUAAUUUCAAGAAACCUAUGUACUUGAGGCAGAAAUUAGGAGAACCC
rnacentral:lncRNA from 1 species